rnacentral:rRNA from 1 species
ACGGGUGAGUAACGCGUAGGAAUCUGCCCAAUAGUGGGGGACAACGUUCCGAAAGGGACGCUAAUACCGCAUACGCCCUACGGGGGAAAGCAGGGGAUCUUCGGACCUUGCGCUAUUGGAUGAGCCUGCGUCGGAUUAGCUAGUUGGCGGGGUAAAGGCCCACCAAGGCGACGAUCCGUAGCUGGUCUGAGAGGAUGAUCAGCCACACCGGAACUGAGACACGGUCCGGACUCCUACGGGAGGCAGCAGUGGGGAAUAUUGGACAAUGGGGGCAACCCUGAUCCAGCCAUGCCGCGUGUGUGAAGAAGGCCUUCGGGUUGUAAAGCACUUUAAGGGGGGAGGAAGGUUCGCUGGCUAAUACCCAGCGGAAUUGACGUUACCCCCAGAAUAAGCACCGGCUAACUCCGUGCCAGCAGCCGCGGUAAUACGGAGGGUGCAAGCGUUAAUCGGAAUUACUGGGCGUAAAGCGCGCGUAGGCGGCUGGGUAAGUCGAUUGUGAGAUCCCCGGGCUCAACCUGGGAAUUGCAGUCGAGACUGCCCGGCUAGAGUGUGGGAGAGGGUGGUGGAAUUCCCGGUGUAGCGGUGAAAUGCGUA